UUGGCUAAGAUCAAGUGUAGUAUCUGUUCUUAUCAGUUUAAUAUCUGAUAUGUGGGCCAUAGGUCCACACGAUAUUAAAUUAAUGUUUUGAGGGGGAGAGUCCAUCACAGUAGCUCGCUAUUGGGGCUCUCGGGCGUCGCUCAUGCGUUGCACUACUGCAAGAGCCUGGCGCGCCCCACUAAGUCUAGUAUAAGCGUUGUUGUUUGUUCUUGGCAAGAACUCAAGGCGUAACUCCGCAAUUUUCGGAACGAGGUGACGGCUUCGGCUUCAUGGUGUGAUUGGACAUUGUCUCAACUUGCGAGCUCGGGUCUGGUAAGGCAACCAACUGCUCGGAUCGAUCCAAGCCUGAAGUGAAGGAAGGUGGACUACAGUCCCUGCGUAAAAAUACACAAACAGUUGCACCCUCGAUAUAUAUAAAACUAAACGAAUUUCCAUGCGAGUAUUAUAUAUAUACUAGUUGUAUGACCCGCGACGCCGCGGAUAAAUUUAUUUUGCAUAAAAAAUAUCAAAAAAAAUUAAAAUUUAAAAAUGUUAGGUUUUUCUGUAAAACUAUAUUUAAGAGUCUUGGGUUUGACUACAACGUCUGAUCUAAGAGUAAUAUUUAUAAUAUUAAUAAUAACAUUAAAUUUGUAUAACCUAAGUUUAAGUGAGUUUGACUGUAAUACCAGACCGAAUAGCAUUGGAUGUAGGUCUGGUUGUAUGGUCGUGUCAUAAAAGUGUGAUAAUUAAAAAAAUUAAUUAAAAAGAAAAAACAAAGAAAAAAAACUAAUAGAAAGAAAAAAAACUAAUGAGAAAAAAAAAUCUGAAUAAAUUGGGUUAACUCGCCAAAUCAGGUUAACCCGUCAAACCUGGAAUUCGUGUCAUGAAAGUGUAAUAACUAAAUAGAAAAAAAGAUUUAAUAUUAAUGAACUAUUUAAAAAAAAAUUAAUUAAAAAGAAAAAAGUAAAGAGAAAAAAUACCUACAGGAAUGAAAAAACUAAUGAAGAAAAAGAAAAAAAAUCUGAAUCAACUGGGUUAAACUAUCAAACCUGAGAUCCGUGUCAUAAAAGUUUGAUAAUUAAAUAGAAAAAAUUUAAUAUUAAGAAACUAUAGACAAAAAAAAUAAACUAAAGACACAAGUUUUUUUACUGUGGAUUGCACCGUGCUAUUCAAAGUAGAAGGCUUAAAAAGAAAAAAAAACAAAAGCAUAUACCGCGGGUUAAUUUUUUUUCUUGCAUAAAAAAUAUCAAAAAAUGCUAAGAUCUAAGAGUGUUAGGUCUUUCUAUAAA